rnacentral:lncRNA from 1 species
CUUUUACCGUUCAGGAGUUAUGGUUCAUGAAAUAUUUUAAAAUGGCGUUUCCAUUCACGUUGUUGCAUUUACGCAUGAACCAUUCAAUCUAAGCUUUUCAAAUUUUAAUAUGUUGAUACUGAUGACAAAAUGGAGGUCAAAUUUGAUAUUGACGAUUUUUAAUUUCACCAUUCAUCAGUAAUGGUUCUUGUGAUAUUGCCAGGACACAAAUAAAUAUUAAUAAAUCAGGUUUGCUGUCGUUGUGACAGCCUCUUGUUUUU